rnacentral:rRNA from 1 species
CCUACGGGAGGCAGCAGUGGGGAAUAUUGGGCAAUGGAGGAAACUCUGACCCAGCGACGCCGCGUGCGGGAUGAAGGCCUUCGGGUUGUAAACCGCUUUCAGUAGGGAAGAAGCGAAAGUGACGGUACCUACAAAAGAAGCACCGGCUAACUAUGUGCCAGCAGCCGCGGUAAUACAUAGGGUGCAAGCGUUGUCCGGAAUUAUUGGGCGUAAAGAGCUCGUAGGUCGUUUGUUACGUCGGAUGUGAAAACCUGAGGCUCAACCUCAGGCCUGCAUUCGAUACGGGCAAACUAGAGUUUGGUAGGGGAGACUGGAAUUCCUGGUGUAGCGGUGGAAUGCGCAGAUAUCAGGAGGAACACCAAUGGCGAAGGCAGGUCUCUGGGCCAAUACUGACACUGAGGAGCGAAAGUCUGGGGAGCGAACAGGAUUAGAUACCCUGGUAGUCCAGACCGUAAACGGUGGGCACUAGUUGUGGGAACCUUCCACGGUUUCUGCGACGCAGCUAACGCAUUAAGUGCCCGCCUGGGGAGUACGAUCGCAAGNUUAAAACUCAAAGGAAUUGAACGGUCUGAGAGUGCGAGACGACGACGAGGAGAGG